AGGGAAUCUUCCACAAUGGACGCAAGUCUAAUGGAGCAACGCCGCGUGAGUGAAGAAGGUUUUCGGACCGUAAAGCUCUGUUGUUGGUGAAGAAGGAUAGAGGUAGUAACUGGCCCUUUAUUUGACGGUAAUCAACCAGAAAGUCACGGCUAACUACGUGCCAGCAGCCGCGGUAAUCGUAGGUGGCAAGCGUUGUCCGGAUUUAUUGGGCGUAAAGCGAGCGCAGGCGGAAGAAUAAGUCUGAUGUGAAAGCCCUCGGCUUAACCGAGGAAUUGCAUCGGAAACUGUUUUCUUGAGUGCAGAAGAGGAGAGUAGAACUCCAUGUGUAGCGGUGGAAUGCGUAGAUAUAUGGAAGAAUACCAGUGGCGAAGGCGGCUCUCUGGUCUGCAACUGACGCUGAGGCUCGAAAGCAUGGGUAGCGAACAGGAUUAGAUACCCUGGUAGUCCAUGCCGUAAACGAUGAGUGCUAAGUGUUGGGAGGCUUCCGCCUCUCAGUGCUGCAGCUAACGCAUUAAGCACUCCGCCUGGGGGAGUACGACCGCAAGGUUGAA
rnacentral:rRNA from 1 species